rfam:Desulfovibrio sp. TomC contig00001, whole genome shotgun sequence.
UUGGGGAAGUCGGAUGGCGGUUUCGCCGCCAACCCCGUCAGGUCCGAAAGGAAGCAGCGGUAACGGUUGGAGCCGGGUGUCCGGCUUCCCUUGAAA